AGCGGCAAAAGCUCAAAUUUGAAACCCUCGGGAUUGUAAUUUGAAGAUUUGGCAUUGGAGAAAGCUAACCCAAGUUGCUUGGAAUAGUACGUCAUAGAGGGUGACAACCCCGUCUGGCUAACCGUUCUCCAUGUAUUGCCUUAUCAAAGAGUCGAGUUGUUUGGGAAUGCAGCUCAAAGUGGGUGGUAAACUCCAUCUAAAGCUAAAUACUGGUGAGAGACCGAUAGCGAACAAGUACUGUGAAGGAAAGGUGAAAAGAACUUUGAAAAGAGAGUGAAAUAGUAUGUGAAAUUGUUGAUAGGGAAGGAAAUGAGUGGAGAGUGGCCGAGGUUUCAGCCGCCCCUCGUGGGCGGUGUACUGCCGACGCCGAGUCAUCGAUAGCGAGACGAGGGUUACAAAUGGGAGCGCCUUUCGGGCGUUCUCCCCUAACCCUCCACACUGCCACCGACGACAUAAUCCACCCAUUUCACCCGUCUUGAACCACG
rnacentral:rRNA from 1 species